GAGAGAUGAUUAGUGGAAGAAAACGAGCAAUAUCCACGGAGAAAAUGGCGGAGGUGACUUUUAUGUCGACGAACUAAUGAGAAUUAAAAGAAACGGAGAAUUGCCCGGGGGCAUUGGGAAGUCAUCAUCGAUUCCCCGUACCAUCCUCCUCGUCGUCAUUGACGCACUGCUAUUUGGACAUCAAUUGAUCGCAUAUUGAUCAUUCUUUCGUAAUGACAUCGUCGAAAUAGGAAGAACAGGUAGUCACGUAAAUGUACGUAUCAGGCAUUCCUGUUUCUGUACGCGCCCAUUGUGAUGAUGAGUAAAAGCAAAAUUCCUUAAUAAAUGAAAAUUAAAGCAUUGGUGUUCCAGAAGAUUUCUGCAAAACGUGCAAAAGCAAAGUGUCACGAGGAAUUCUUACGACCAAAAUCCCAGGAUAUUUGAGUGUUUGAUAAAAAGGAAUGGAAUGGAGGAAAGAUGUGAAAUCGAUUUUUCUGAGAAGAUUAUAACCAAAGAGGAGUCAAACUGCUGAUGUUACCAAAAAGCAGAAUAUUUUUAAUUUUUCUAAAAUUCAAAAUAUCAUUAAAAAUUCAUGUAUUCGCACUGUAAGAGGAAAGUCCCACACUGGCGACGAGGUUAUGAGAGUAUUGAGCAUGUAACGAGAGAUCCAACCUUGACCUGGAUAACGUAGCAGCACACAUGAAAUGAAAAUGCAACGGUUGAUGCAAGCUAGACUGGAAUUGACUCUGUACAUGUUUGUACCUCGUGCCCAGGCCGAGUUUUCAAUCAUAUUAAAUUUAAUACGAAUCA